UAAGCGNAGAAAAAGAAACUAACAAGGAUUCCCCUAGUAACUGCGAGUGAAGCGGGAAAAGCUCAAAUUUAAAAUCUGGUGGUCUUUGGCCAUCCGAGUUGUAAUUUAGAGAAGCGUCUUCCGCGCUGGGCCGUGCACAAGUCUCCUGGAAUGGAGCGUCACAGAGGGUGAGAAUCCCGUCUUUGGCAUGGACACACCAGGGCUUUUGUGAUGCGCUCUCGAAGAGUCGAGUUGUUUGGGAAUGCAGCUCAAAAUGGGUGGUGAACUCCAUCUAAAGCUAAAUAUUGGCGAGAGACCGAUAGCGAACAAGUACCGUGAGGGAAAGAUGAAAAGCACUUUGGAAAGAGAGUGAAACAGUACGUGAAAUUGUUGAAAGGGAAACGCUUGAAGUCAGUCGCGUCGACCGAGACUCAGCCUUGCCUUGGCCUGGUGUACUUCUCGGCCGACGGGUCAGCAUCAAUUUUGCCCCUUGGAUAAUGAUGAGGGAAACGUGACACCUUUAUGGUGUGUUAUAGUCUCUUGUCGCAUGCAAGGGUCGGGAUUGAGGAACUCAGCACGCACCUUUGGGUGUCGNGGCUUUGCCCACGAUACGUGCUUAGGAUGUUGGCGUAAUGGCUUUAAACGACC
rnacentral:rRNA from 1 species